GAGUUUGAUCAUGGCUCAGAUUGAACGCUAGCGGGAUGCCUUACACAUGCAAGUCGAACGGCAGCACGGACUUCGGUCUGGUGGCGAGUGGCGAACGGGUGAGUAAUGUAUCGGAACGUGCCUAGUAGCGGGGGGAUAACUACGCGAAAGCGUAGCUAAUACCGCAUACGCCUACGGGGAAAGGCAGGGGAUCGCAAGACCUUGCACUAUUAGAGCGGCCGAUAUCGGAUUAGCUAGUUGGUGGGGUAACGGCUCACCAAGGCGACGAUCCGUAGCUGGUUUGAGAGGACGACCAGCCACACUGGGACUGAGACACGGCCCAGACUCCUACGGGAGGCAGCAGUGGGGAAUUUUGGACAAUGGGGGAAACCCUGAUCCAGCCAUCCCGCGUGUGCGAUGAAGGCC
rnacentral:rRNA from 1 species